UACAGAGGGUCCAAGCGUUGAUCGGAAUCACUGGGCUUAAAGGGUUCGUAGGCGGAUCGGUAAGUAUGUUGUGAAAUCCCACGGCUCAACCGUGGAAUUGCUUCGUAUACUGCCGAUCUUGAGCGCGACAGGGGUCAUCAGAACGAUAGGUGGAGCGGUGAAAUGCGUAGAUAUCUAUCGGAAUGCCAAAGGUGAAGACA
rnacentral:rRNA from 1 species